AUGGUUCUGAAAACUGAUCGGGAAGAGUCUGAGCCAUCUAUCUCUUCGUUCUCAACCUCUAACAGCCUCCAUGUCAGGUCGAUUUCCUUCCUCCCUCCUCAAUUUCUGUGUGUCAUACUGAGAAAUCCCAAAACCAAAACCGCUGCCUUUUAAUUUCGUGCUCUAGCUGCUUGUUUAAAUAUCACAAAGAAGAGAAGUAUUCAAUGCUAAAUAGUCUAAGUAAUCUUCCUCUGGAUUGGUGAAAUAAAUAUAUAGUGUCUUUUUGUGUAUAAUAUUGGUGAAUUUUGUCUACUGGAACUGAUCCAUGUAGAUAGUUGCAUGAGUAGUUUAUUCAUUACAGUGAUGUUUGUGGGUUCCUAAAGCAUUAAAAUUUAAAAAAAAUGCACAGGUAAUCCAUUUUUGCAGACUUGUAUGUCAAUAUAGUUUUUUUGCCGCUCAAUUUCAGCUUAGAGUGUUCCCUCUGGAGAGGCCAGGCUUAGGGUUGAAGGAAAUAGCACAAGAGUAGAAUCUGAACUGGGAUUCUUCAACACUGAAGCGGGCAGUCAUGUAGCAUAUUGA
rnacentral:lncRNA from 1 species